UGACGGUACCUGUAGAAGAAGCCCCGGCUAACUUCGUGCCAGCAGCCGCGGUAAUACGAAGGGGGCUAGCGUUGCUCGGAAUUACUGGGCGUAAAGGGCGCGUAGGCGGCUUAGUCAGUCAGGCGUGAAAUUCCUGGGCUUAACCUGGGGUCUGCGUUUGAGACGGCUAGGCUAGAGGGUAGGAGAGGGUCGUGGAAUUCCCAGUGUAGAGGUGAAAUUCGUAGAUAUUGGGAAGAACACCGGUGGCGAAGGCGGCGACCUGGCCUAUUACUGACGCUGAGGCGCGACAGCGUGGGGAGCAAACAGGAUUAGAUACCCUGGUAGUCCACGCCGUAAACGAUGUGCGCUGGAUGUUGGGGCCCAUAGGGUCUCAGUGUCGUAGCUAACGCGGUAAGCGCACCGCCUGGGGAGUACGGCCGCAAGGUUGAAACUCAAANGAAUUGAC
rnacentral:rRNA from 1 species